GAUGAACGCUAGCUACAGGCUUAACACAUGCAAGUCGAGGGGCAGCAUGAACUUAGCUUGCUAAGUUUGAUGGCGACCGGCGCACGGGUGAGUAACACGUAUCCAACCUGCCGAUGACUCGGGGAUAGCCUUUCGAAAGAAAGAUUAAUACCCGAUGGCAUAGUUCUUCCGCAUGGUAGAACUAUUAAAGAACUUCGGUCAUCGAUGGGGAUGCGUUCCAUUAGGUUGUUGGCGGGGUAACGGCCCACCAAGCCUUCGAUGGAUAGGGGUUCUGAGAGGAAGGUCCCCCANAUUGGAACUGAGACACGGUCCAAAACUCCUACGGGAGGCAGCAGUGAGGAAUAUUGGUCCAAUGGACGAGAGUCUGAACCAGCCAAGUAGCGUGAAGGAUGACUGCCCUAUGGGUUGUAAACUUCUUUUAUACGGGAAUAAAGUGAGGCACGUGUGCCUUUUUGUAUGUACCGUAUGAAUAAGGAUCGGCUAACUCCGUG
rnacentral:rRNA from 1 species